UAUUACUGUUAGUCGAUGCACAUAUAUUUUGCACCCCAAAACACCCUUGCUUUUCACUUUUAUACCAUAGGUGAUUAGGUAAAUGUUUUUGAUAAUGCAACCUGACAUAUACACUCACUCUAAAAAAGGGCUGCACAAAUUAUAUUAUCUGGUGGAUUAUCGUAUCAUGUUGUGUGUUGGAAUUGGAGGUAGAGCCUGCUGGAUCAUAUUGUGUGCAGCAAGGCAAGGACAUGCACAAUCAUGUUGUGUGCAUGGAGGACAGGGGCUGCAAGAGAUCUUUGUAUGCGGCAGGGGGAGGUGAAGGGCUAUCAGAUGCUGUGUGUGUAUAUGUGUUCAGGGGGGCGACUGUUGGAUAGUGGUUUUUUUUUUGGCGGAACUGCCUUUUGUAAAGAUAAAGUGAGAAUAUAGACAUAGAGAAAGAAGGAUAGAUAGAGAAGAAAAGGAAGUGUGGCAUUCACAUUUGGAAGUUGUUGCUACGAACCCACAAAGUGGCUCUUAAUACUAGUAUAACAGGCCAUCCUUAGGCUGCAAAAGAAAAAAAGCAUCGGAGAGAUGGCAGGAAUGUUACAUAUGGCCAACCCAACAGUUUGGUAGAUUUAGAGUAUAAAAGAAUGCACUGGUGAUCUCUGCAUUACUAAAAGGCCCGGACAUCCCCAGAAGACAACAGUGGUGG